rnacentral:ncRNA from 1 species
UUGAGCCGUAUGAGGUGAAAGUCUCACGUACGGUUCUUAGGCGAGAAAGAGGAAGUAAUUCCUUUGACUUAGCCGAC